rnacentral:lncRNA from 1 species
GCUGGACCUGAGCAACAGUCAUAUUUUGGGACUCAGGAGUGGAUCUGCUGUGUGCUGUACUGGAGGAACCUCACUGUAAACUGGAGACACUGAGGAGGACGUUCCCUGGAGUGGCAAAGAUUGCACACGGCCUGGAUCACGCUUCUCGCAACACCAUGGUCUCCAACGAACACUGAAGGAGGUGCAUCAGCAGGUGCGACAGAACCAGUGAACCCCUAACCGGGAAGACACGCUAGAGCUGCUCCCAGGCGACUGGGUUCUCAUCCGUGACCUGUGAAAGAAACAUUGGAAGCAGCCCCGGUGGAGAGGCCCUCAUCAAGUUCUUCUGUCCACACCCCACGCUGUGAAAAUAGAAGGCAUUGACUUGUGGACUCACAUCACCUACUGCUGUAAAAUAGCUGAUCCCACGCAGGCACAACAGCAACAUGAGUGAUUCAAGGACACCCUAGCACCCUUUCU